rnacentral:rRNA from 1 species
AGUGAACGCUGGCGGUAGGCCUAACACAUGCAAGUCGAACGGCAGCACAGUAAGAGCUUGCUCUUACGGGUGGCGAGUGGCGGACGGGUGAGGAAUACAUCGGAAUCUACUUUUUCGUGGGGGCUAACGUAGGGAAACUUACGCUAAUACCGCAUACGACCUACGGGUGAAAGCAGGGGACCUUCGGACCUUGCGCGAUUGAAUGAGCCGAUGUCGGAUUAGCUAGUUGGCGGGGUAAAGGCCCACCAAGGCGACGAUCCGUAGCUGGUCUGAGAGGAUGAUCAGCCACACUGGAACUGAGACACGGUCCAGACUCCUACGGGAGGCAGCAGUGGGGAAUAUUGGACAAUGGGCGCAAGCCUGAUCCAGCCAUACCGCGUGGGUGAAGAAGGCCUUCGGGUUGUAAAGCCCUUUUGUUGGGAAAGAAAAGCAGCAGGUUAAUACCCCGCUGUUCUGACGGUACCCAAAGAAUAAGCACCGGCUAACUUCGUG